rnacentral:lncRNA from 1 species
UUUUGUUUCCAUUUCCAGGUGCUUGAGGAAGGGACAAUGCAAUGAACUCAUAUAAAUGCCUUAGAGGAGAGUAGGCAGGUCUGCAUGGAGAGCAGAGGUUGAUCCAUGUGCAUGUAUCCAACCUGAGGUCCUCUCCUGCACUGCUGCCUUACUCGGAUUCUGGACCACUUCAACCAUCUCUCCCGUCACAGGUUUCUCCAGGUGUGCAGUCUUGCCGCAGCCACGCCAUCCCACCACUAUUCCAUCCCAGCGGCUCACGUGGAGAACAUCUCGCCACCUGCUAAUAGGGCUCCAGCCCCGGUGAGGCCCUCGACUCCUCCACCCUCAACAGCAAUGGCUCUGGUUGCAGCUGAGACACAGGGGAGUCCUCCUCACUCUCCUCUGGUAACUCCAGACCACUAUGAAAGGAUCAAGCUGGCAUAGCUCAGGAACCGGGAGCAACUCAGUACUGCACGCUCUUACCAAGAUGCCUCUUGAGGAUAGAAGUUGAGGACUUUUAGUACGCUACAUAAUAUUGAUAAAUAUAAAAUAUAAA